GACGAACGCUGGCGGCGUGCUUAACACAUGCAAGUCGAACGGAAAGGCCCUGCUUUUGUGGGGUGCUCGAGUGGCGAACGGGUGAGUAACACGUGAGUAUCCUGCCCUUGACUUUGGGAUAACUUCAGGAAACUGGGGCUAAUACAGGAUAGGAGCUCCUGCUGCAUGGUGGGGGUUGGAAAGUUUCGGCGGUUGGGGAUGGACUCGCGGCUUAUCAGCUUGUUGGUGGGGUAGUGGCUUACCAAGGCUUUGACGGGUAGCCGGCCUGAGAGGGUGACCGGCCACAAGGGGACUGAGGGACGGACCAGACUGCUACGGGAGGCAACAGGGGAAAAUAUUGCACAACAGGCGGGAGCGUGAUGCAGCAACGCCGGGUGCGUGAUGACGGCCUUCGGGUUGUAAACAGCUUUCGCCUGUGACGAAGCGUGAGUGACGGUAAUGGGUAAAGAAGCACCGGCUAACUACGUG
rnacentral:rRNA from 1 species